UACGAAGGGGGCUAGCGUUGCUCGGAAUCACUGGGCGUAAAGGGUGCGUAGGCGGGUCUUUAAGUCAGGGGUGAAAUCCUGGAGCUCAACUCCAGAACUGCCUUUGAUACUGAAGAUCUUGAGUUCGGGAGAGGUGAGUGGAACUGCGAGUGUAGAGGUGAAAUUCGUAGAUAUUCGCAAGAACACCAGUGGCGAAGGCGGCGACCUGGGUAGAUACUGACGCUGAGGCACGAAAGCGUGGGGGAGCAAACAGGG
rnacentral:rRNA from 1 species